AUUUAGUAUCAUUGGCAGUUUCGAAAGAUAGUUUUCCAGUACUAAAAUGUCUGUCCCUCAGAUACUGCACUGAGCUUGCGGCUGUUCCAGUUGAGUUUGGUGAAAUAGAGAGCCUUAAGUUGUUGGAAUUGUAUUGCACCAAUGAGUGGGCACUGAGAUCUGCUCAUCAAAUACUGAUGCGUAAAGGAGAUGUAAAUGGAGAUACAAAAAAGGGUGGAUUUCAGCUCUCAGUCAAUACUACUCCUGAGCCUUGAGAUACAUUAGGUUUCCUGGAUGAGGUAAAUAGCUAGUCCUCCAUCAAUCCCCAAAUACAGAUGCAAAUAUGGGUGAAAGAUUUCAACUCUCCAUCUAUCCUCCUGAUCACUAAGGGAUGGGAGAUGCCCGGUCACAGCUUUCAACCAUUCAAUGCUGCGGGUGCUGAUAUAUGUAUAUAUAUGUCAAGAGUGAAUAUGAUUUUCUUUCUCAUUUGUUUCCAGCAGACCACAUAAUACCAACUGUUACUUGUUUGUUUGUUUAGUGCCCUGCGAUUUGCUUUGGGAUUA